rnacentral:rRNA from 1 species
GACGUAGGGGGCCAGCGUUGCUCGGAAUUACUGGGCGUAAACGGUUCGUAGGCGGUGCGGCAAGUCGGGAGUGAAAUCUCUGGGCUUAACUCGGAGGCUGCUUCCGAAACUGCCGUGCUCGAGUGCGGGAGAGGCGAGUGGAAUUGCAGGUGUAGCGGUGAAAUGCGUAGAUAUCUGCAGGAACACCCGUGGCGAAGGCGGCUCGCUGGACCGCAACUGACGCUGAGGAACGAAAGCUAGGGGAGCAAACAGG